CUGCAAUGAAUUAAUAAUGUGAACCAUAGCACCAGUGUUAAGCCACCAUGUAUUAGAAGGACAUCAAUUAGAAAGGAUUCAUAAGUUUCAUAAUUAAAGGACGAUAUACCUUUCUUUUCAAGUCAUUCUCUGAAUUUAUGGCAUUCUUUCUGAAUAUGUCCUUGCUUCUUACAGAAAUGACAUGUAGGACCUUCCUCAAAGUUGUUACCUGAAUAAUUUGCCUUAUUUAUUUUGGUAGAAAUUUGUUUAUCCUUAUUCUUAAAACCUUUGCCAUUUUUAUGAGCCUUCUUCUUAUGAGAUCUAGUGGUAGUCAAAUGAACAACAUUAGAUUUUUCAAUCUUGAGCCUUUCUUCUUCUUGGACGCACAUGGCAAUUAACUUGCUCAUCUUCCAUUUUUCUUUCU
rnacentral:lncRNA from 1 species